rnacentral:rRNA from 1 species
UACGUAGGGUGCAAGCGUUGUCCGGAAUUAUUGGGCGUAAAGAGCUCGUAGCGGUCUGUUGCGUCCGCUGUGAAAACUCGGGGCUUAACCCCGAGCCUGCAGUGGAUACGGGCAGACUAGAGGUAGGUAGGGGAGAAUGGAAUUCCCGGUGUAGCGGUGAAAUGCGCAGAUAUCGGGAGGAACACCGGUGGCGAAGGCAGUGUCCUGGCGCGUAACUGACGCUGAGGUGCGAAAGCCAGGGGAGCGAACGGGAUAGAA